rnacentral:rRNA from 1 species
UGAGUAACACGUAUGCAACCUGCCUGCCACAGCCGGAUAAUCGGGAGAAAUUCCGUCUAAUACGGCAUAAUGCAUCGACGGGACAUCCUGUUGGUGCCAAAGGUUAAUUCCGGUGGCGGAUGGGCAUGCGUCGCAUUAGUUAGUUGGCGGUGUAACGGACCACCAAGACGACGAUGCGUAGGGGUUCUGGGAGGAAGGUCCCCCACACUGGUACUGAGACACGGACCAGACUCCUACGGGAGGCAGCAG